UUUAUAGUGCUAAGAGUCCUAACCCAAAUAUAAGUAUCUAAAAUCAAAAUUGAGUACAGUUUGGCAGAUAAGAUUUAUCUGUUUGAUUCCCGGGUUUGAAGCUGGCUUUGUUUGUCAAGUAUGCUUGUGCCCAUAACGCAGUUCAUAACACAGCUUAUCUAGAGUAUCCUUUUAUGAAUUUGAUUGUGGCCACCUUUUAUCUCAG
rnacentral:lncRNA from 1 species